GGGAGCCUCAGGGGUGGGGAGGGAGGUCGCUGGUCUCCCGGGAGCCUCAGGGGUGGGGAGGGAGGUCGCUGGUCUCCCGGGAGUCUCAGGGGUGGGGAGGGAGGUCAGUGGCCCCCCGGGGAGCCUCAGGGGUGGGGAGGGAGGUCGCUGGCCCCCCGGGGAGCCUCAGGGGUGGGGAGGGAGGUCAGUGGCCCCCCAGGGAGCCUCAGGGAUGGGGAGGGAGGUCAGUGGCCCCCCGGGGAGCCUCAGGGGUGGGGAGGGAGGUCGCUGGCCCCCCGGGGAGCCUCAGGGAUGGGGAGGGAGGUCGCUGGUCUCCCGGGAGCCUCAGGGGUGGGGAGGGAGGUCUCUGGCCCCCCAGGGAGCCUGGUACACAUACUGGGAUUUCUGGGGUAACUGCUGUGUUUCUGAGGUUCCCUGAGGGCUCUUUCACCUGCUACUCUGGCAGUUUCCAGCAUUGAGUAGGUGCUUACUGUAUGCCCAGACACAGGGUACAGUGGAAGGCCAAAGCAGCCGGUGUUGGGCAGCUCAUGAGAGAAUAUGUGAUCAGUCCACAAAGGGAUCUUAAGCACCUACUGUGUGCCAGACGCUGUGCUGAGCCCUGGGACAGAGGGCCAGAUGGUUCGGCCUGAGGCUGUCUCUCCAGUUUGGAGCCGGGGACAGAGGGAGGGGGCAUUUAGGGUUAGGGCACAGGUGGUGGCCAAAGGCCUGUGAAAGGAUUCCUUCCUUGGGGUGCACUAGGGUGAUGCCCAUUUUACAGAGGGGGCCACUGAGGCAAGCAGCCGACAGCCUGGGGCCCCGGACGGGCCUUCUCUGCCUCAGGAACUGGGCUGGCUUUCCCAAGGCGGGACACUCCUUGGGCUCGGCAGCUCUACCCCAGAAACGGGGGCGGGGUUAGAGGCCCGAGGCGGGGUUAGAGACCCGAGGGCGUUACUGCGCCUCGGAGAAGGCUGGCUUUAGCUUCCGCCACGCUCAACAUGGCGACCCGCGCGCUCCGUCUCCGACCCCCCCUUCUAGCAGAGCGACUGCGCCGGCGCGAUGACGGGGCGGCCAAUCAGGCCCCAGCCACGCUCACUAUGGCCGCGCUCAGCGC